AUUGAACGCUGGCGGAAUGCUUUACACAUGCAAGUCGAGCGGCAGCACGGACUUCGGUCUGGUGGCGAGUGGCGAACGGGUGAGUAAUGUAUCGGCACGUGCCCCGUCGUGGGGGAUAACGUAGUGAAAAUUACGCUAAUACCGCAUACGAUCUAUGGAUGAAAGCGGGGGAUCGCAAGACCUCGCGCGAUUGGAGCGGCCGAUAUCAGAUUAGGUAGUUGGUGGGGUAAAGGCCCACCAAGCCAACGAUCUGUAGCUGGUCGGAGAGGACGACCAGCCACACUGGAACUGAGACGCGGUCCAGACUCCUACGGGAGGCAGCAGUGGGGAAUUUUGGACAGUGGGCGAAAGCCUGAUCCAGCCAUUCCGCGUGCAGGAUGAAGGCCCUCGGGUUGUAAACUGCUUUUGUACAGAACGAAAAGGUUUCUACUAAUACUAGGAGCUCAUGACGGUACUGUAAGAAUAAGCACCGGCUAACUACGUGCCAGCCGCCGCCGUAA
rnacentral:rRNA from 1 species